ACGUCAGUACAGCAGUGUGUGUUGAGAGUGAGGGCAGAGGCUCUAUCUUACUGUGCCACCGUAAGGGACCUUGGUGUACAACUCGAUCGGACUUUGUUGUGGUCAGUACAAUUAAAAGAAGUCAGAAGAAAAAACUUCGCUGCGCUGAGCUCCCUACGGCACCUCAAGUCUUUUUUAGCAAUUCCUACCAAAAUUAUGUUGGCGAAUUCUCUCCUCCUAUCGAUUCUCGACUAUGCAGAUAAGUAUAUAAUAUACAGUAAGCUAUAAAUAUUAAUCUAACAGAGGACCAAAUUAAUAAGCUUGAGCGUCUUCAAAACUUUGCUAUACGGUUUAUAUUCUGCCUUCGAAAAUAUGACCACGUUUCUGAAUUUCGUUCCAAGCUCAAGUGGCUUCCAAUACGUUCUCGCCGAAACUUUUUUUUUUAUGUCACUAGGUCGACAAACAAGCGUACGGCUCACUUGAUGGUAAGCGAUUACCGUAGCUUAUGGACGCCUGCAACACCAGAAGCAUCGCAAGCGCGUUGCCGACCCAAUCCCAAAUCCCCCCAGGAGCUCUGGUCACCUUACUCACCAACAGGAACACAAUACUGCUUGAAAACAGUAUUAUUUUGCUGUGAUCUUCUGUAAUGUCGAGGUACUACCCCAGUCGGGCUGCUCCAUAUUUUGAGCCGGAAAUUCCUGCUGUGCCC
rnacentral:misc_RNA from 1 species